AUUGAACGCUGGCGGCAGGCCUAACACAUGCAAGUCGAGCGGAUGAAGGGAGCUUGCUCCUGGAUUCAGCGGCGGACGGGUGAGUAAUGCCUAGGAAUCUGCCUGGUAGUGGGGGAUAACGUCCGGAAACGGGCGCUAAUACCGCAUACGUCCUGAGGGAGAAAGUGGGGGAUCUUCGGACCUCACGCUAUCAGAUGAGCCUAGGUCGGAUUAGCUAGUUGGUGGGGUAAAGGCCUACCAAGGCGACGAUCCGUAACUGGUCUGAGAGGAUGAUCAGUCACACGGGACCUGAGAAACGGUCCAGCUUCCAACGGGAGGCAGCAGUGGGGAAUAUGGGACAAUGGGGGAAAGCCUGACCCAGCCAGGCGGGUGGUGUAAAGAAGGUCUUGGAUUGUAAAGCACUUUAAGUUGGGAGGAAGGGCAGUAAGUUAAUACCUUGCUGUUUUGACGUUACCAACAGAAUAAGCACCGGCUAACUUCGUG
rnacentral:rRNA from 1 species